CACAUAUACAAGGCCUGGCUCGGGCAGCAACCAUGCAGCUAACAUAAUUAAACUUUUUACUUGCCAAGCACUUUUAAUUUCUCUUUAAAUUGGUCAGUAUUGUACACAAGUACAACAUUACAUUUCAAUUGGCACCAACAUUUAAUUACUCUUACAUGGACAGUAAUAAUGAAUCCACAAAAGAGGGCAUUAAUCAACAAUUUUACAAUUAAUUUUUGUCUUGCUCUGGACAGCAGCAAACACUCAUAAUGUCAUGUAUUAAAUAAAUUUCAAGCUCAUUUAGACAAACUAAAGUUAUGGCCUUUGGACACCUUCAAUCUUUACCUCCCAACAUCAUGAAUGGCAUCAUUUAACCGUCCCAAAUUACAGCCUGCAGACUUUGUAAAUGGCAGCAUUUAAACACCUUAAAUUGCAAAUUCCAGACAUCAUAAAUUCACAUCCUUUGUGGACAUUAUAAACUGACAUUUAAAACCACUUAAUUUCCAUUAUUCGGACCUCAUUUAUUUAUGCUCAAUUGAACAACAUUCAUAAAAAAAAAAAAAAAACUUUGGAUAGCAUAGAUCACCACCAACCGAACCACCUUUUUCUGGUGAAGAAAUUUAAUAGCCUACUUAAAAAAAACUGCAUGCAUAAGCAGCUCCCUCGACAACAUGCAUUCUGUUAGAAUUGUGUGACCCAAAUUCUAAGAGAUUGCUUGCAAGUUAAGUUAAACAAAAAUAUAUUUUCUUUCUAGAAGAUUUAGUAUUUAUUAGUAUAAUAUAUUUAGCAUUUAUUAGUAUAGUUUAUUUGACUUACUAAUUUAGCCUAUAAAUAGGCUCCUUUACAAUCUUAGAAUUAAGAGACACCCAUUAGAUUAGAACUCAUAACACAUUCAGAGAAUUUUGUGUUUACGUUUGAGGGUUCUUUGUUUUUCGGGUUUUCGGGGUUUAGUUUUUAUCUCCAUCUUUUGUACUCUUCAUUCUUUUGCCAUUAUAAUAAAAUUAUCUUUGCCCGUGGUUUUUUAUCCUCUUUUGAGGGGUUUUUCCACGUUAAAUUUGUGUGUUCAUCUUCUCAAUUUCUUCUACUAUUUUUACUUGUUCGUUGCUUAAUCGGGACGAUCCUAACAAGUGGUAUCAGAGCUAGUUUAACUUUCAUAGAUCAGCCCGGUCAGAGAUGGCAGCAACAAGGUUUGAAAUUGAGAAGUUCGAUGGUAAGACAAAUUUCAAUCUGUGGCAAGUUCGGAUGAUGGCAAUUCUAGUUCAAAAUGGCUUGAAAAAGGUUGUUACAGGGAAAAAGCCUGAGAAUCUAAAUCAAACAGAAUGGGAAGAGCUUGAUGAAAAGGCCUUGUCUUCAAUCCAGUUGUGCCUCGCGAAUACAGUAUUGCAGGAGGUAUUGAUGGAGAAGACCUCAUUCGCCUUGUGGAAAAGGUUAGAAACUCUUUAUGCGACUAAGUCUCUGGCUAACCGUUUAGUGUUGAAACAACGUCUAUUUACGUUUCGCAUGAACGAAGGUGAGCUUCUUAAAGAUCACAUCAGUCAAUUCAUUACUCUUUUAAAUGAUUUAAAGAACGUUGAAGUUCAUAUUGACGAUGAAGAUCAAGCUAUGCUAUUAUUGUGCUCUUUACCCUCUUCAUACAAGUCUUUCAGGGAGACCCUGAUUUAUGGCAGAGACAAACUCUCGUUCGAAGAUGUGAAGGGUCAUUUGUUGAGUAGAGACAAACUCGACAAUGAGUUUGAUUUGAAUAGCAAAGCAGAUAGACAAGCUUCCGUUUUGGUAGCAUCAAAGAAACGAGACAAAAGGUGUCGCUAUUGCAAAAAGUUAGGUCACGUCAAAGCAGAUUGUUAUAAACUGCGAAAUAAAAGAGCUGCUGAGAGUAACGAGGAAGAUGUAGCUGGUGCUAAUUUGGUCGAUGAAGGCGGUGAUGAUUUCUUGUUAGUGUCAACGAGCGAUAACUCCAAGCUUACGUCUGAGUGGAUCCUAGAUUCAGGAUGUUCUUUCCACAUGUGUCCCAAUAGAGAAUGGUUCUCCACAUACAGUUCAGUUGAUGGUGGAGUUGUGCACAUGGGAAACGAUUCAUCUAGUAAAAUAAUCGGUAUUGGUACUGUUAAAAUUAGGAUACACAAUGGGACGAUUAGGACACUCUCAGAUGUCAGGUAUGUACCUGAUUUACGAAAGAAUCUCAUCUCCUUGAGCAUUUUAGACUUGAAAGGAUGCAGAAUCAACAUCGAGUCAAGCGACAUUAAAGUAUCUCGUGGAGCUCUCGUUUAGUUAAAAGGUAAAAGAACCGGCAGUCUUUAUAUUCUGGAAGGUUCUACAGUGACCGGUGAAAUCAGACGUCCCUCGUCCGUUACGGAGUCAAAGUCAACUCAUUUGAAGCGGAGGCAACUUGGUCAUAGGAGGGAAAAAGGUAUGACCGUUCCGUUGAAGAGAGGUUCUCUUUUGGAUGCAGGUUUUGAAAAGUUAGGGCACUGUAUUCGUGAAAAUCAGACCCGGGUUAGUUUUGAUUUGGCAGUGCACAAGUCGAAGGCUAGAAGUCUUCCAGCUUCUAAGCAUAGAUUCGACUCAGUUAAUUCCCUGCAUAGUUCAAGAUAGGCCCGUGGCGGGUUUUGGCAAAGAUGGCAUUGAAAGAAUUUGUGUCAAGGUGGAGAUUGUUAGAAUUGUGUGACCCAAAUUCUAAGAGAUUGCUUGCAAGUCAAGUUAAACAAAAAUAUAUUUUCUUUCUAGAAGAUUUAGUAUUUAUUAGUAUAAUAUAUUUAGCAUUUAUUAGUAUAGUUUAUUUGACUUACUAAUUUAGCCUAUAAAUAGGCUCCUUUACAAUCUUAGAAUUAAGAGACACCCAUUAGAUUAGAACUCAUAACACAUUCAGAGAAUUUUGUGUUUACGUUUGAAGGUUCUUUGUUUUUCGGGUUUUCGGGGUUUAGUUUUUAUCUCCAUCUUUUGUACUCUUCAUUCUUUUGCCAUUAUAAUAAAAUUAUCUUUGCCUGUGGUUUUUUAUCCUCUUUUGAGGGGUUUUUCCACGUUAAAUUUGUGUGUUCAUCUUCUCAAUUUCUUCUACUAUUUUUACUUGUUCGUUGCUUAAUCGGGACGAUCCUAACACAUUCCACAAAAAAUUUCCUUGGAUUUAUACAUUCAUACCAGCAUGAAAGUGUAACAAAGCAAUCAAGAAAGAAAAAUGUAUAGAGGACUCACAAAAACUCGAAGUCGAGCAUAACCUUGAGUAAGAUCUCUUCCCCUCUUGCUGCUGCCUUCUCCUUCCCCUUUUUGCAAGUUUCUUGAGGAAAAUCAGCUCCUAAACGAGCUCAAAAUUUAACAUGCAAUAAUUCUCUUCUCCCUCUCUAAUCGAAUUGUAGCCAGAAAAACAAGCAGAAUUUUUUUUCAAGUGUCCUCUCUUUCAAAAAAAAUCAUCCAGGUUGAAG
rnacentral:lncRNA from 1 species